UAGUAGAGUGGCGCACGGGUGAGUAACGCGUAAGUUAUCUACCCUCCCAUCUGGAAUAACUCACCGAAAGGUGUGCUAAUACCGGAUACGUUGGAAACAAGAAAGGUGGCCUCUAUUUAUAAGCUACCGUGGGGGGAUGAGCUUGCGUACCAUUAGCUAGUUGGUAGGGUAAUGGCCUACCAAGGCAACGAUGGUUAGCGGGUCUGAGAGGAUGAUCCGCCACACUGGAACUGGAACACGGACCAG
rnacentral:rRNA from 1 species